CAUACAUGACAGGGGUGCAAUUGCUGAGAAAAACCCUUAUUACCUGAUCUGGUUAAUUCUAGCGUAGGGAGUCAUAUCGAUUGAUAG
rnacentral:ncRNA from 2 species